AUGGAGGAUCGAGUCUCUGAGCCCAAACUGGUUCUGGUCUUCAGCGGGAAGCGGAAGUCCGGGAAAGACUAUGUGACGGACCUGAUCCAGAACCGUUUGGGCUCUGAUGUUUGCUGCGUGCUGCGUCUGUCGGGACCUCUCAAACAUCAGUACGCUCAGGUGAGAUAACACCUGCUGACACACGGCCCAGAUCUGAGGAAGAACCGUAACGCAGUAACACUAUGACUGUCAUAAUGUUACCGCUGACUCGUAGUGUUACUGCUGACUCGUAGUGUUACUGCUGACUCGUAGUGUUACUGCUGACUCGUACUGUUACCGCUGAGUCGUACUGUUACCGCUGACUCGUAGUGUUACUGCUGACUCGUACUGUUACUGCUGACUCGUAGUGUUACUGCUGUCUCGUAGUGUUACUGCUGUCUCGUAGUGUUACUGCUGACUCGUAGUGUUACUGCUGACUCGUAGUGUUACUGCUGAGUCGUACUGUUACUGCUGUCUCGUACUGUUACUGCUGAGUCGUACUGUUACUGUUGAGUCCUAUUGUUACUGCUGAGUCGUAGUGUUACUGUUGACUCGUAGUGUUACUGCUGUCUCGUAGUGUUACUGCUGUCUCGUACUGUUACUGCUGACUCGUAGUGUUACUGCUGAGUCGUACUGUUACUGCUGUCUCGUACUGUUACAGCUGAGUCGUACUGUUACUGCUGAGUCCUAUUGUUACUGCUGAGUCGUAGUGUUACUGUUGAGUCGUAGUGUUACCGCUGACUCGUACUGUUACCGCUGAGUCGUACUGUUACCGCUGACUCGUACUGUUACCGCUGACUCGUACUGUUACCGCUGAGUCAUACUGUUACCGCUGACUCGUAGUGUUACCGCUGACUCGUACUGUUACCGCUGACUCGUAGUGUUACCGCUGACUCGUACUGUUACCGCUGACUCGUAGUGUUACCGCUGACUCGUACUGUUACCGCUGACUCGUACUGUUACCGCUGACUCGUACUGUUACCGCUGAGUCGUACUGUUACUGCUGACUCGUAGUGUUACCGCUGACUCGUACUGUUACCGCUGACUCGUAGUGUUACCGCUGUCUCGUACUGUUACCGCUGACUCGUACUGUUACUGCUGACUCGUACUGUUACCGCUGACUCGUACUGUUACAGCUGACUCGUACUGUUACUGCUGACUCGUAGUGUUACUGCUGAGUCGUACUGUUACUGCUGACUAGUAGUGUUACUGCUGACUCGUACUGUUACUGCUGUCUCGUACUGUUACUGCUGACUCGUACUGUUACUGCUGACUCGUACUGUUACUGUUGAGUCGUACUGUUACUGCUGUCUCGUACUGUUACUGUUGAGUCGUAGUGUUACUGUUGAGUCGUACUGUUACUGCUGUCUCGUACUGUUACUGCUGAGUCGUACUGUUACUGUUGAGUCGUAGUGUUACUGUUGAGUGGUAGGUUACUGCUG
rnacentral:lncRNA from 15 species